AUGGCUCCUCGCGCUCUCUCUUGGAUUAGUGUUUCUCUGCUUGUCUUCUUGGCGUCCUGGUCAUGCGUUGCGGCCAGGGGCACACGGGCACCCAGAACCGCCGACCCGACCGAUGGGUUCACUGCGGUGAGGCUCGGCGAGAGCAACUUCGCGCUGCAGCUCCCGUUCGACGAGUCGACCGGCGCACGCUACAGCUUCGACGGCACCGUGCGGAAGCUUUGGGUGCUCUCCUCCGACAAGCCACAUGCCCGCCAGAGCCAUACCAGCCCAAGAACUGAGAUUAGGAUGGCAGGCUACGACUACAGCUCCGGCGUGUGGCAGUUCGAGGGCUAUGGGUACGUCCCCUCCGGCACCACGGGGGUGUCUAUCAUGCAGGUGUUCGGUGCCGGCGAGACGGCCACCACAUUCAUGCUGCACGUCUAUGAUGGCGCGCUGCGGUAUUACAACCGGCAGCUCGUCGAGGACGCCAUCUAUGACAGAUGGUUUCGGCUGAACGUGGUCCACGACGUCGACGCUUCGACGCUCACCGUGUAUAUCGACGGCGAGCUGAAGCUGCACGUCCAAGGCCGCGGCGGUCACUCGCACUACUUCAAGUUCGGCGUGUACGGUCAGCGCCGGGAGUCCAGCCGGAUGGAAUCGCACUGGAAGGACGUCAAGAUCCUCAUGAAAGAUUAG
rnacentral:rRNA from 1 species